rnacentral:rRNA from 1 species
UACGUAGGCGGAAAAUUAAGUCAGUAGUGAAAUCCUGCAGCUUAACUGUAGAACUGUUAUUGAUACUGGUUUUCUUGAAUAUAGUUGAGGUAAGCGGAAUGUGUAAUGUAGCGGUGAAAUGCUUAGAUAUUACACAGAACACCGAUUGCGAAGGCAGCUUACUAAGCUAUGAUUGACGCUGAGGUACGAAAGCGUGGGGAGCGAACAGGAUUAGAUACCCUGGUAGUCC